rnacentral:rRNA from 1 species
UAACCUGCCCCUGUGCGGGGGAUAACAGGAGGAAACUCCUGCUAAUACCGCAUAGCCAUGAGCACCGCAUGGAGCUCAUGCCAAAUAUCCUUUCGGGGAUAGCGCAGGGAUGGACCUAUGGCGCAUUAGCUGGUUGGCGGGGCAACGGCCCACCAAGGCAACGAUGCGUAGCCGGCCUGAGAGGGCGGACGGCCACAUUGGGACUGAGACACGGCCCAGACUCCUACGGGAGGCAGCAGUAGGGAAUUUUCGGCAAUGGGGGAAACCCUGACCGAGCAACGCCGCGUGAGCGAAGAAGGCCUUCGGGUCGUAAAGCUCUGUUGUAAAGGAAGAACGGCGCAUACAGGAAAUGGUAUGCGAGUGACGGUACUUUACCAGAAAGCCACGGCUAACUACGUGCCAGCAGCCGCGGUAAUACGUAGGUGGCGAGCGUUAUCCGGAAUCAUUGGGCGUAAAGAGGGAGCAGGCGGCCGCAAGGGUCUGUGGUGAAAGACCRAAGCUAAACUUCGGUAAGCCAUGGAAACCGGGCGGCUAGAGUGCGGAAGAGGAUCGUGGAAUUCCAUGUGUAGCGGUGAAAUGCGUAGAUAUAUGGAGGAACACCAGUGGCGAAGGCGACGGUCUGGGCCGCAACUGACGCUCAUUCCCGAAAGCGUGGGGAGCAAAUAGGAUUAGAUACCCUAGUAGUCCACGCCGUAAACGAUGG